AGAAAAAGCAGGAGAAGAAGGUGGAAGAAGCUGACUUGCUGAGUCUUCCAGCCUUCAUCUUUCUUCUGUGCUGGAUGCUUCCUACUCUUAAACGUAAGAGUCCAAGUUAGUUGGCUUUUGGACUCUUGAACUUAUACUAGUGGCUUGCCAGGGGCUCUCAGACCUUCAGACACAGACUGGAGGCUGCAUUGCUAGCUUCCCUACUUUUGAGAUUCUGGGACUUGGACAUAGCCACUACUGGCUUCCUUGCUGCUCAACUUGCAGACAGCCUAUUAUGGGACGUCACCUUGUUACUGUAAUCUGAAUUUUAAGAAGAAAAUAUUCAUUUCUCACAGACUUUGCAUUCGAUGUACCAGCAGGCACUAUCCAGAUUAAUCAACUAGCUCGUCUGGUCUUGUGGCCCCUCAUCCAGGAACUGACUCAGGUCAAGAGGACAGCUUUAACUCCCUAAGAUUUCAUCUCCAACCUGACCAGUCAGAACUCCCGUCAAACUAUCUUCAAAAAUUCCAGUCCCUGAAUUCUCAGGGAGACUGAUUUGAGUAAUAAUAAAACUUUGGUUUCCUACACAGCUGGCUCUGUGUGAAUUACUCUUUCUUUCUUGCAGCUCCCCUGUCUUAAUAAAUCAGCUCCGUCUAGACAGUGGGCAAGGUGAAUCUGUUGGGUGGUUACAAGACUAUUUAAGUCCUCACUUUAUGUCUUUGAUAGGUUCAUGGAAACAGCUACAUUAAAUGAAACAACGUAUAUAACAAAACCAUUUUCUUCUCUUCAUCAUUAUGUUAUUCAAG
rnacentral:lncRNA from 1 species